GGAUACACUAUGGGAAGAUGGAAUUACAGGAUCAAAGGGAACAUACCUUUUUAAAGACCAGAUGAUGAAUAAAUGGAAAUAGAAAGCUGCAUUCUCUCUCUAAAGUGCAAGUUCUACAACACUGCAUUAGAGUUUACCCAAAAUAGUUCUUAAAGACUGAAAUCAUGUUUUUCACAAAGCCAUCAUAACUCCGAAGACUCUGGCAUUUUUUUCACACUCUUCUUUGAAAUAUUUGUGGGAGGAAAUUCUGACAUGUUGGAGUGGAAUUAAUUACUCACAGGUAUGAGGUUCUUGAGGGUUGGCAUCUUUGGUACUCUCUGCAGUGCUCAGAAUAUUGUCAAUGGAAAGUGAAGACACAUUUGCAAAGCUUGGCUGAAUUUGGCAGGAAGAGGAGGAAGAACUGAGAUAAAAUGAACAUGCCUCUGUGUACUUGUGAGACUGGAAAGGCAGAAACUGUAUUUCCCAAGCUCACAUGAAUCUUGGGUUCCAGAUGUGGCCAAGGUUCUCCUGGGCUGACAUAAUGAGAUAAGGAAGAGCAAGAUGCCCCACUUCCGUGGUUUUCCUUGUUUCUUUGGCCUCUAACUUCAGGCUACCUUGAGAGCUCCUACUCUAUUCAUCCAUUUAGUUUUGGUCUUUUUGGGGUGGUAGGUCCUUUCUCUUUUUACCAUGCC